CCCUUAGAUGUCCUGGGCUGCACGCGCGCUACACUGAUGUGUCCAGUAAGCACCUAACCUCUUCCGAAAGGAACGGGGAACCUUUGCAAAGCACAUCGUGAUGGGGAUAGAAUAUUGUAAUUAUUACUCUUCAACGAGGAAUUCCUAGUAAGCGCCAGUCAGCAGCUUGCGCUGAUUACGUCCCUGCCCUUUGUACACACCGCCCGUCGCUCCUACCGAUGGGUGAUCCGGUGAAUGAUUCGGACUUCAGCGGCUCCCCUGGGGUGCGCCGGAGAAAGUUUUGUGAACCUUAUCACUUGGAGGAAGGAGAAGUCGUAACA
rnacentral:rRNA from 1 species